rnacentral:tmRNA from 1 species
GGGGCUGACUUGGAUUUCGACAGAUUUCUUGUCGCACAGAUAGCAUGCCAAGCGCUGCUUGUAAAACAGCAACAAAAAUAACUGUAAACAACGCAGAUUACGCUCCAGCUUACGCUAAAGCUGCGUGAGUUAAUCUCCUUUUGGAGCUGGACUGAUUAGAAUUUCUAGCGUUUUAAUCACUCCAUAACCUUAAGCUAGACGCUUUUAAAAGGUGGUUCGCCUUUUAAACUAAGAAACAAGAACUCUUGAAACUAUCUCAAGGUUUUAGAAAGUUGGACCAGAGCUAGUUUUAAGGCUAAAAAACUAACCAAUUUUCUAAGCAUUGUAGAAGUUUGUGUUUAGGGCAAGAUUUUUGGACUGGGGUUCGAUUCCCCACAGCUCCACCA